rnacentral:rRNA from 1 species
UCCAGACUCCUACGGGAGGCAGCAGUGGGGAAUAUUGCACAAUGGGGGAAACCCUGAUGCAGCGACGCCGCGUGAGUGAAGAAGUAUUUCGGUAUGUAAAGCUCUAUCAGCAGGAACGAGACAAGACGGUACCUGACUAAGAAGCCCCGGCUAACUACGUGCCAGCAGCCGCGGUAAUACGUAGGGGGCAAGCGUUAUCCGGAAUCACUGGGUGUAAAGGGAGCGUAGACGGCUGUGCAAGCCUGAAGUGAAAGGCGGGGGCCCAACCCCUGGACUGCUUUGGGAACUGUACGGCUGGAGUGCAGGAGAGGUAAGUGGAAUUCCUAGUGUAGCGGUGAAAUGCGUAGAUAUUAGGAGGAACACCAGUGGCGAAGGCGGUUUACUGGGCUUUUACUGACGCUGAGGCUCGAAAGCGUGGGGAGCAAACAGGAUUAGAUACCCGAGUA